rnacentral:sRNA from 1 species
UUAACAGAGUGGAGUUUAAAGUCCCAUGUUUAUCCUCUCCACAAAAAACACAGCAGCACUAGUGCAUGCUUCCAUGCAUUGCCCCACCAAUGUGCCUCAAUCGUGUUCUGGAUGAAGGAGUUCUAAUAAAGGUGACAGAGAAUCAGUCUUUAUGUCAUUCAAUCUGUUUAAGCC